rnacentral:snRNA from 1 species
GUGCUUGCUUUGGCAGCACAUUUACUAAAAUUGGAAUGAUACAGAGAAGAUUAGCAUGGCCCCUGUGCAAGGAUGACAUGCAAAUUUGUGAAGUGUGCCAUAUUUUG